rnacentral:ncRNA from 1 species
CACCGAUAAAGGCAAAUUUACCGAAAGGUAGAGACGCAAAGCUAUAGGGUCUUCCUUAUAAAAAAGAUGACAGCCAGUUACCGAA